AAUGCUGACAUAAGUAACGAUAAAGCGGGUGAAAAGCCCGCUCGCCGGAAGACCAAGGGUUCCUGUCCAACGUUAAUCGGGGCAGGGUGAGUCGACCCCUAAGGCGAGGCCGAAAGGCGUAGUCGAUGGGAAACAGGUUAAUAUUCCUGUACUUGGUGUUACUGCGAAGGGGGGACGGAGAAGGCUAUGUUGGCCGGGCGACGGUUGUCCCGGUUUAAGCGUGUAGGCUGGUUUUCCAGGCAAAUCCGGAAAAUCAAGGCUGAGGCGUGAUGACGAGGCACUACGGUGCUGAAGCAACAAAUGCCCUGCUUCCAGGAAAAGCCUCUAAGCAUCAGGUAACAUCAAAUCGUACCCCAAACCGACACAGGUGGUCAGGUAGAGAAUACCAAGGCGCUUGAGAGAACUCGGGUGAAGGAACUAGGCAAAAUGGUGCCGUAACUUCGGGAGAAGGCACGCUGAUAUGUAGGUGAAGUCCCUCGCGGAUGGAGCUGAAAUCAGUCGAAGAUACCAGCUGGCUGCAACUGUUUAUUAAAAACACAGCACUGUGCAAACACGAAAGUGGACGUAUACGGUGUGACGCCUGCCCGGUGCCGGAAGGUUAAUUGAUGGGGUUAGCG
rnacentral:rRNA from 1 species